GCAAACUUGGUCAUUUAGAGGAAGUAAAAGUCGUAACAAGGUUUCCGUAGGUGAACCUGCGGAAGGAUCAUUACUGAAUAAAAUCCGGUUGGGUUGUCGCUGCCCUCUAUGGGAUGUGCACACCCUGCCGCUGUUUCCACCUCUUCUUUCACCUGUGCACCACCUUGUAGACCGGAUUGCCAUUUCGAUCCCACGAGGGCAACCCCAUACUGUGCAUGUUGCAGGCCUUUUUCACUGGAAAGAGGUUGGAUGUUUUGAGGGUUUGCUGCAGUUCCACCACACACUUGUGGAUGGCAAUGGCUUUCCCUGGGCACAUCUGGUCUAUGCCCCUUUAUCAAACCCCACUAUGUGUUUGUUGUUUUUAAUACAUAAUACCACAACUUUCGACAAAUGGAUCUCUUGGCUCUCGCAUCGAUGAAGAACGCAGC
rnacentral:misc_RNA from 1 species